rnacentral:rRNA from 1 species
AUUGAACGCUGGCGGCAUGCUUUACACAUGCAAGUCGAACGGUAACAGGCCGCAAGGUGCUGACGAGUGGCGAACGGGUGAGUAAUGCAUCGGAACGUGCCCAGUCGUUGGGGAUAACGCAGCGAAAGCUACGCUAAUACCGCAUACGAUCUGUGGAUGAAAGCGGGGGACCUUCGGGCCUCGCGCGAUUGGAGCGGCCGAUGUCAGAUUAGGUAGUUGGUGGGGUAAAGGCUCACCAAGCCGACGAUCUGUAGCUGGUCUGAGAGGACGACCAGCCACACUGGGACUGAGACACGGCCCAGACUCCUACGGGAGGCAGCAGUGGGGAAUUUUGGACAAUGGGGGCAACCCUGAUCCAGCAAUGCCGCGUGCAGGAAGAAGGCCUUCGGGUUGUAAACUGCUUUUGUACGGAACGAAAAGGCUCUGGUUAAUACCUGGGGCUCAUGACGGUACCGUAAGAAUAAGCACCGGCUAACUACGUGCCAGCCGCCGCCGUAACAC